ensembl:lncRNA
UUUUCCCAGUUUAGUUAUAGUCUAGUUUAGUCACUCUAUCCCUGCUUUGUUUUGUACACUUUGUCUUCUUCAGCCAUAAUAAAGGCUCGCUUUCUGUUAAGUUCACUCCCGUCUACUAACUUGUUGACUGAUUCAGCUGACUCAGCAGUGAGACCUGAAAACAUCAAUUAUGGGCAAACAAUCAUCAGAACAAGGAGGCCCAGAUGCCUUUAUAGCACCCACCUCCUCCCCAUCUCCACCUCUCAUCACUCAAGCUCCAUUCAAGCCACCUGGAUCUCCACCACCAGCAUCUAGACUCUGGGGGGUUCUGCUCUAAUCCCUUUCACAGCUGGGGUUCCAUUCUGCCGAGACAGGCCAUCGGAGUCUAACCACCAAACAUCUAUUUAUAUUCUGUUAAUCAAUAAAUCAUGUUCAUUCUUUCUAAUGAUCUGUCCUUACUGAACCAUGUGUUAAUAGACCUCUCUGCAUUGAAUCAUAUCUGUUAUUAAUCUCUG